GGGUCUGUAGCUCUGGUAGCGUACGCCUGAUAAGCGUAAGGUGGUUUCGAGUCCACUCAGACCCACCA
rnacentral:tRNA from 1 species